rnacentral:rRNA from 1 species
GACGAACGCUGGCGGCGUGCUUAACACAUGCAAGUCGAGCGGUAAGGCCCUUUCGGGGGUACACGAGCGGCGAACGGGUGAGUAACACGUGGGUGACCUGCCCUCAGCUCUGGGAUAAGCCUGGGAAACCGGGUCUAAUACCGGAUAUGACUCCAUGACGCAUGUUGGUGGGGUGGAAAGCCUUGUGCGGCUGAGGAUGGGCCCGCGGCCUAUCAGCUUGGUUGGUGGGGNGAUGGCCUACCAAGGCGACGACGGGUAGCCGGCCUGAGAGGGCGACCGGCCACACUGGGACUGAGACA